rnacentral:rRNA from 1 species
UACGUAGGGUGCAAGCGUUAAUCGGAAUUACUGGGCGUAAAGCGUGCGCAGGCGGUUAUGUAAGACAGGUGUGAAAUCCCAGGGCUUAACCUUGGAACUGCAUUUGUGACUGCAUAGCUAGAGUACGGUAGAGGGGGAUGGAAUUCCGCGUGUAGCAGUGAAAUGCGUAGAUAUGCGGAGGAACACCGAUGGAGAAGGCAAUCCCCUGGACCUGUACUGACGCACAUGCACGAAUGCGUGGGGAGCAAACAGG